CAUACCUUGACUACAGCAUAAGCAGCAGCACCAUCAAGGAGAGUUUUGCUAACUUUUUCGAGAGGCAAGUUAUAUCCUAAUUUGGCAAAGAUGGAAGCUGCGACGUGAGAACCUUUUUGAAGAUAUUCGCCUGGUAGCCCAGUGGGCGUCCAAUCGAGUGAAUGAAAUAUAAAAAAGAAAAUUGGUAAAGGUAGUAUAGCACUUAGCUCAUGUAAAAAAAGAAAUGCAAAUAUAUGAGAAAAAGGCUUAUCCUUAAAUUGAUGUGCUUGCUUGCCAGUAAUUUUUAGGAGGCGUUUCCAUAGUUUGGUGUCAGACCGAAUGGUAUGAUUCGAGGAUUGUACCUUUUCCUGUAAGAUAAACGGCGAAUAAUGAAAUUUACGCUUAUUCAAUAAGAUAAAUGAGCCUUUUAGAGCUUGCAAGGGACUUCUAGAUGGUAUAUGUAAGGUUUUAGCCAGACCUGAAAUUCUAAUAGUUGGUGGUAACAUAUUGGAGCUAAUGAAGAAUACUACAGUGCUUACAGUGUAUAAAUGUUAAGCUGGUACCUUGCGAUUUUUUUUGAAAUCUUGAUUAAAUAAAACUGAAUGGAUGCUGCUUAAUUUAUGCUAGCUAGUUUUACUACUACUGUACAUGAAAACAAUUAGAAUCUUCCAAAAACCUCGACUUAAAAUCACGAAUAUUUUUUACUGAAAUCGCUAACUCUGCUGUAAUUUGAUUACUACAUUAUAAAAAAGGGAUU